GUGCCAGGGCAAAGAAGCGUGUGGGAGGAGCUUUUUGGAGUGUAACCACUUUUAUUAGGGAAGAAGAACUGACGGUACCUAAUGAAUCAGCAUCGGCUAACUCCGUGCCAGCAGCCGCGGUAAUACGGGGGAUGCAAGCGUUAUCCGGAAUUAUUGGGCGUAAAGCGUCCGUAGGUGGCUUAUCAAGUCUGUUGUCAAAGCGUGCGGCUCAACCGCAUACGGGCGAUGGAAACUGAUGAGCUAGAGUGCGAUAGGGGUCAGGGGAAUUCCCGGUGUAGCGGUGAAAUGCGUAGAUAUCGGGAAGAACACCAGUGGCGAAAGCGCCUGACUGGGUCUGCACUGACACUGAGGGACGAAAGCUAGGGGAGCGAAAGGGAUUAGAUACCCCUGUAGUC
rnacentral:rRNA from 1 species